GUAAGGAUUGGGUAAUCUGCAUCCUGAGGUUUAAAUCAACUUUAUAUAUAUUUGUUGUAUCUAGCCCUCGGGGGCCAGAUUACCUCAUCCUCAC
rnacentral:pre_miRNA from 1 species